rnacentral:tRNA from 1 species
GCCCCCGUAGCUCAAUUGGUAGAGCGCGAUACCUUUAAUAUCGUGGUUGGCGGAUCGAAACCGUCCGGGGGUA